rnacentral:rRNA from 1 species
UACGGGGGGGGCAAGCGUUGUUCGGAAUUACUGGGCGUAAAGGGCUCGUAGGUGGCCAACUAAGUCGGACGUGAAAUCCCUCGGCUUAACCGGGGAACUGCGUCCGAUACUGGUUGGCUUGAGUUUGGGAGAGGGAUGCGGGAUUCCAGGUGUAGCGGUGAAAUGCGUAGAUAUCUGGAGGAACACCGGUGGCGAAGGCGGCAUCCUGGACCGGCAUUGACGCUGAGGCGCGAAAGCUAGGGGAGCAAACGGG